AUUGAACGCUGGCGGCAGGCCUAACACAUGCAAGUCGAGCGGAGCGGCGGACGGGUGAGUAAUGCCUCGGAAUCUACCUGGUAGUGGGGGAUAACGUCCGGAAACGGGCGCUAAUACCGCAUACUAUCAGAUGAGCCUAGGUCGGAUGUGCUAGUGGGUGGGGUAAAGGCCUACCUAGGCGACGAUCCCUAGCUGGCAUGAGAGGCUGACCAGCCAAACUGGAAGUGAGACACGGUCCAGCCUCCUACGGGAGUGAGCAGUGGUGAAUAUUGCACAUGGGGCGCAAGCCUGAUGCAGCCAGGCCGCGUGUGUGAAGAAGGCCUUCGGGUUGUAAAGCACUUUCAGCGGGGAGGCGUUACCCGCAGAAGAAGCACCGGCUAACUCCGUGCCAGCAGCCGCGGUAAUAC
rnacentral:rRNA from 1 species